GACGUAGGGCGCGAGCGUUGUCCGGAUUUAUUGGGCGUAAAGAGCUCGUAGGCGGCUUGUUGCGUCGACCGUGAAAACCCGCGGCUUAACUGUGGGCUUGCGGUCGAUACGGGCGGGCUGGAGUUCGGUAGGGAGACUGGAAUUCCUGGUGUAGCGGUGAAAUGCGCAGAUAUCAGGAGGAACACCGGUGGCGAAGGCGGGUCUCUGGGCCGAUACUGACGCUGAGGAGCGAAAGCGUGGGGAGCGAACAGG
rnacentral:rRNA from 1 species